rnacentral:lncRNA from 1 species
CAAAACUCGACAUGUUCAAUGCUAUUAAAAACUAUGCUGUUAUAUGAAACUUGUAUUGUUAUGAGUCGAAAAUUCACAAUUGAUCAAUAGUUGGUAACUUCAUUGUGUACAGUCCCAUUGCAAUUUCAGAACUGCCAGUUUCAUCAGCUUACAUCUUUUGCAGGUGCAAGUAAUAAUGAAAUUUGAAUCUUUAAUUUUUUUUAUGUACAGUCUAUUCCAAAAUGUAUUGCAGGCAGCAGGAAACAGUUCGGCUUUUGUACAAAACACGGAAUUUAGUUGCAUUUAUCGCGUCGAGUGCUGGUUAACGCUCAAAUUGGCAAUUAGCCAUUUCAUUAUGGUUACCGUAGAAACCGGGGUUGGGUGGCUGAUGAGAGCGCG